GUAGAGCAUCCUACGGGAGGCAGCAGUGGGGAAUAUUGCACAAUGGGCGCAAGCCUGAUGCAGCCAUGCCGCGUGUAUGAAGAAGGCCUUCGGGUUGUAAAGUACUUUCAGCAGUGAGGAAGGUGGGUAUGUUAAUAGCAUAUUCAUUUGACGUUUAGCUGCAGAAGAAGCACCGGCUAACUCCGUGCCAGCAGCCGCGGUAAUACGGAGGGUGCGAGCGUUAAUCGGAAUUACUGGGCGUAAAGCGCAUGCAGGUGGUUUGUUAAGUCAGAUGUGAAAGCCCGGGGCUCAACCUCGGAAUUGCAUUUGAAACUGGCAAACUAGAGUACUGUAGAGGGGGUAGAAUUUCAGGUGUAGCGGUGAAAUGCGUAGAGAUCUGAAGGAAUACCGGUGGCGAAGGCGGCCCCCUGGACAGAUACUGACACUCAGAUGCGAAAGCGUGGGGAGCAAACAGGAUUAGAUACCCUGGUAG
rnacentral:rRNA from 1 species